rnacentral:sRNA from 1 species
GCCGGGCAUGGUGGCACAUGCCUGUAAUCCCAGUGGCUUGGGAGGCUGAGGCAGAAGGAUUGAGAAUUCAGAGCCAGCCUCAGCAAGGGCAAGGUGCUAAGCAACUCAGUGAGACCCUGUCUCUA